UACGGAGGGAGCUAGCGUUGUUCGGAUAUACUGGGCGUAAAGCGCACGUAGGCGGCGUCGUAAGUCAGGGGUGAAAUCCCGGAGCUCAACUCCGGAACUGCCCUUGAAACUGCAAUGCUAGAAUCUUGGAGAGGCGAGUGGAAUUCCGAGUGUAGAGGUGAAAUUCGUAGAUAUUCGGAAGAACACCAGUGGCGAAGGCGACUCGCUGGACAAGUAUUGACGCUGAGGUGCGACAGCGUGGGGAGCAAACAGG
rnacentral:rRNA from 1 species